CUGCUCUAUGUAAUUAUUUAGGGUUAAACCUGCUCAAUGAUUAUUUAAAUAGCCGCAGUACAUUGACUGUGCAAAGGUAGCAUAAUCAAUUGGCUUAUAAUUGAAGUCUAGUAUGAAUGGGAACCCGGGGAAUAACUGUCUUAAUUAAGUAUAUAGAAAUUACUUAGUGAGUGAAAAAUCUCACAUAUAGAAGAAAGACGAGAAGACCCUAGAAAUUUUUUAAAGUAUAUAUUUUUAUAUUCUAUUUUGUUGGGGCGACAUAGUAACAGUUAACUUACUAAUUUAACAUGCUAUUUAUUAGUAGAAAGAAUAAAUUACUCUAGGGAUAACAGCAUAAUUCAAAUUUGAGUUUGUGACCUCGAUGUUGGACUAGGAAAUAAAUUAUUUAGAAGAUAAUUUAAUAGGCUCUGUUCGAGCCAUACUUUCCUAC
rnacentral:rRNA from 1 species